rnacentral:lncRNA from 1 species
GGACCCACCUGGAAGCGCCGCGGCGCCGCUGUGGAGCUUCCUGCGGCGGAGGGCGCUGGAGCCAGUGCGGGGGCCGACGGCGGCCACGCGGGCGGCGCCUCCCCGAGUGGCCGGCCCCGCACGAGAGAUAACAAGUUGUGCUUAUUAGUACACCAUUUAAAUAACUCCUGAAGUCUCACCGUGACACAGACAUUAGCAGUGAUGACAGAUAAAGACAGAUGCUUGGAAACUAACGACUAGGUCAGACUCCUCAAAAGAGAGGCGUUUAAGAGGUUCUGGUAUUCUCCGAGGCUGAAGCUGAGAGUCUGAAAGCCUGAAACUUACGGUCUAUUGUAGAUCAUAGCUCCAUCUUCUUCAGGAUAUAAGGGAAGAAGUGACAUUUCCACAAUGAUAGAUCUUUGGUUGUGC